AAAAAGAAGUUGUAGAUAUGGAUAAAGGAGAUGGUUGUACAACACAUUAUAUUGGACCACUCAACUGUACGUUUAAACAUGGUUAAAAUGGCAUGUAUCAAACCAAGAAAGCGGCUAGGAGGGCAACACAUCUACCUGUAUACAGGGAGCUAUGAAAUACGUGAGCUGCGCAAGUGAUGCACAAGGAAACGGAAGCAGUAUGACCUUUACACAGUGACCUGGCUCAAAUAAUUUCAGGCUGUCAUUAACCAGGCGAGCUCCACUUUCUCUCUGAGUUUAUAAUGUACCUGAUCCACUUGUCUCAUCACACUAGCUGCAAACAAGGCCACUGAAUGUCACAGCAGGUGGCCGGCAUGUCUGUGAAGGGCAGAAACUGGGGCAGCCAAACAGCUGGCAGAGGCCAGCUAGGAAGUACCUGAUGCCCACUCCAUAGAGGACUCCACACUUAAAAGACAAGAUCAGCAAGUGUCAGGCUGCCUCACUAGUUAUCCCCCCAAAUAAAAAAAUAAAAGUAA
rnacentral:lncRNA from 1 species